AAAUUCGCCCUUAUAGUUUGUCCUGGCUCAUGAUGAACGCUAGCGGCAGGCCUAACACAUGCAAGUCGAGGGGUAACAGGGAGUAGCUUGCUACUUUGCUGACGACCGGCGCACGGGUGCGUAACGCGUAUACAAUCUGCCUUGUACUGGGGGAUAGCCUUUAGAAAUGAAGAUUAAUACCCCAUAGUAUAUGACUGUGGCAUCACAGCCAUAUUAAAGGUUACGGUACAAGAUGAGUAUGCGUCCUAUUAGCUAGAUGGUGUGGUAACGGCACACCAUGGCGACGAUAGGUAGGGGCCCUGAGAGGGGGAUCCCCCACACUGGUACUGAGACACGGACCAGACUCCUACGGGAGGCAGCAGUGAGGAAUAUUGGACAAUGGAGGCAACUCUGAUCCAGCCAUGCCGCGUGCAGGAAGACUGCCCUAUGGGUUGUAAACUGCUUUUAUACAGGAAGAAACACCCCCACGUGUGGGGGCUUGACAGUACCGUAAGAAUAAGCGGCGGCUAACUCCGUGCCACAGCCGCGGUAAUACGGAUGGUGCAAACGUUAUCCGAAACAUUGGGCGUUAAGGUUCCCU
rnacentral:rRNA from 1 species